UUUCCGUAGGUGAACCUGAGGAAGGAUCAUUAAUGAGUUGUCAUGGGGUUCGAUGCUGGCAGCCAAUUUUUGGAUGCAUGUGCUUGCCCUAACAAUCAUCUUCCAAACACCUGUGCACAUUUUUGAGGGAGUCUUGAGUUGGUUGCCGCUCUUGGGUGAUUUUCUCACAUUCCCUUAAAUCAUUAUACGCUAUUAACAAUGUUGAACGUGCUCUGUGCCGCAAGGCUAUUAAUAUAAUACAACUUUUAACAACGGAUCUCUUGGCUCUC
rnacentral:misc_RNA from 1 species